rnacentral:pre_miRNA from 1 species
CAUUGUCUUCACGAUGCUGAACGCGUUAUUGAAACCGUGAACAUCGUGUAAGGCUAAGG